rfam:Picea glauca, whole genome shotgun sequence.
GGGCAUGUAACUAAGUGGUAGAGUAUGCUUAUAAGUCCUGGGUUUGAUUCCUAGCCUGUCCA